rnacentral:sRNA from 1 species
AGAACAGUAAUCACUGUGCUAGACUAAG